rnacentral:rRNA from 1 species
GACCUAUCAGCUUUAGACGGUAGGGUAUUGGCCUACCGUGGCUAUGACGGGUAACGGGGAAUUAGGGUUCGAUUCCGGAGAGGGAGCCUGAGAAACGGCUACCACAUCUAAGGAAGGCAGCAGGCGCGCAAAUUACCCAAUCCUAAUACAGGGAGGUAGUGACAAGAAAUAACAAUACAGAACCUUACGGUUUUGUAAUUGGAAUGAGUUAAGUAUAAACCCCUUAACAAGUAUCAAUUGGAGGGCAAGUCUGGUGCCAGCAGCCGCGGUAAUUCCAGCUCCAAUAGCGUAUAUUAAAGUUGUUGCAGUUAAAAAGCUCGUAGUUAAUCUUCUGUUAAUUUUUAUAUAUAAUAUUUCGAUAUUUAUAUAAUAUUAACAUAAUUCAUAUUACUUUUUAGUAUAUGAAACUUUACUUUGAGAAAAUUAGAGUGCUUAAAGCAGGCUAUUGCCUUGAAUACUCCAGCAUGGAAUAAUAUUAAGGAUUUUUAUUCUUCUUAUUGGUUCUAGAAUAAAAAUGAUGAUUAAUAGGAACAGUUGGGGGCAUUUGUAUUUAACAGUCAGAGGUGAAAUUCUUAGAUUUGUUAAAGACAAACUACUGCGAAAGCAUUUGCCAAGGAUGUUUUCAUUAAUCAAGAACGAAAGUUAGGGGAUCGAAGACGAUCAGAUACCGUCG